GUACUAAUUGUCGUACAGAAAACACGGGGAGUAUUGUACUCCCUAUGGUGUCCAGAAGAUGCAAGUCUCUGAAGCUGAGGGAAGGCAAAAAGCAGUCACAUUUCUGUUGUACUUGACUAUUAAAUCAAUGCAGCUGACCACAUCAUCAGAUGCCUAAUAAGAAAUACCACAGUAUCUGGAGAUGAUUUAGUGAAUUAACAAUUCACUAGGCUAUACAAAAAUGAAUUAAGAGAAAUACAUUGGGGAAUUCUUGUGGGACCACAGCCUCUGAAGACAACUGCUCUGCUGGGAUGGAAACUAACACAAGUAGGAUGUAAUUAAGACAGCAGCUAACUUCUAUAGCCUGUUUAAGGCCACGGAGGAGUAAGAAUACAUGUGAAAGAUAAGUAUGCAAAAACUCCCAUCAAAAUAAGGUCAUGAACAGUUACAAGGAGAUGCUUUAAAGUUAUGACAUGGGUUCCUAACUGGGCUGGUAAAAAAUUCUGGCUAUGAAUCAAGAGAGAAAUGACAGAAGACAAGAAGGAAGUUACUUUGCAUAUUAGUUGUUUUUGUUUGUUUGUUUGUUUUGGUUUGUUUGUUUGUUUUUGUCCCCCAGAGCUCCUGCCUCCUCGCUCUUUAUUUUGAUGGAAAACAUUUAUACUGUCUUAAAACUGGAUUGUACGCAAUACUCCUAACCCGUUUGCAGAGAGUGGUUUCAAACUGCUUUGUCCAAGGAGAGCUACACAGGACUUUAUGUUCAGGAGCUAUAAUCUCAUCAGCAAAACUUCCUUUGAAUAAACUGUGACAUUCUUCAGAAAUACAUGGCUAGUUCCUCCUGGUAUAUCUGAGGCACCACAAAGAACUUUGUCUGGGUAUGGUUAUAUAUCCAUUCCCCAGGGAUAGUUUGAAGCACCCUCAAUGAAAGGAUCUUCGAUCGGUGUUUUUUCUGUACCCAAGUUUUCAGUUUUCCUUGACCAGUGCAUGGAGUAUUCUUGUGGGAAUUUUUUUUUUUUUUUUUGUCUGGAAUUUGGGAUAAAGGAAGGGCAUUACUUUCAUGGCCUAAUCUAGCUCAAAGGCUAAUACAAUGAAUGUUAAUUCCAUCAGGGAUCUUUUAUGUUUUCAAACUUGUGAAUAACUUGGAGUGAUUUGUACACACAGGUACUAGGCAGAAAUUAGAAAUCUGGCAAAUGUUUAUCAAAUAUUAGAAUGUAUCACCAUUUUGAACCAACCUAAGAAUGCCUGUGUUCCGUGAAAUCUUCUCUGCUGAGCUGACUUAAUGAGAAGAGCGUUUUGAGGAUGUAUUAUUUAUAAGGUACAAAACUUUGUGUUUGCUAAUGAUUCUCUGUAUGGACAAUGAAACACUGCAAAGCAGUAUUCAGUAUUAUUAACUUUUACUUUUCUUUUUGGCUCACAUUUCUGCACAAAAGACUUACCAUCAUAAAAAAUGUAGUGAUUGGUGCCAGUUGUCAUGCCUUGUGGGUGUUGGCUUGGCAAAUAGUUUAAAUAUGGAGCAAACCAGCCAAUUCAUUUUAGCAAUGUGGAAAAAGGGAUUCAUAGGGAUAUACUUUGUGUCAUUUGUGUCAAGCGCAAAUAUGCAGGUUAUUUCCUCAAUUUCCUGGGUAAAUGUGUAGUUGUUUUAUGACAUGCUUGAAUAACCUCUCUGUAUAACUCAGAGAAGCAACUGGUCAAAUAUAAAUGUGUCUGUAGUUAACACCAGUGGCAGUUAAGACUUUCUUUUAUAGGCUGGCAUAAGUUACAGCACUAUGGCAAUGCACUGCACUCCUGUAAACUUCCUGUCUGCAAGUUGAUUCAUGCAGACCGUUCUGCCUCCCUGCCCUUUGGGUGAUGAAAUUACAUCCUGGAAUUACUGGUCAAGCAGAGCACAUGAAAACUGUACUUUGUAGUCUGACAAGACCAGUGGUUGUGACUUCAAAUGAAGAGAUGGGAAUGCACUUUUCAAGGAGGCACCCAAAUCAUCGCUCACCUUUCAGCACAUGUAGGAAGAUUUAGGUACAAGAGAUAUCUAUCUGAGUAGUGGUACUAAUCACACAGACUGAAGAAGAGGAAAGGAAGAUUCAGCACAUUCAGAAUUUGAAAGUGAGCUGCAGAAGAGAACAUCUGCAAGAACCAAAUGUUUCAAAGAAAAGCCAUUUUAUAAAGAUGAACAAACAUCAACAAGGCAUCUACGAAUGAAAAAGAAGGAAGAGAGGAAGCAACACCAGAAGAAUGACAAUGGAAAUCUUUUGUAAGGGUGAAAGAAAUACAGUGAGCAAGUCUGGGGAAUCAUGAAAGAAAAUGGUGGCCUCUGAUACAGGAUUAGGAAAACCCUAACCAAACAAAGGUUCAAAAUGAAUGGAAAGGGACUUCCCAUUUUUAUAUUAAGAUACAUGUAUGUGCACCUUGCAGGCUUGACAGUGAAACACUAAGUCUUGUACAUAGACUGUUCCAACACUGUUUCAUUCAAUGGACUUCAUCCAGGAUGAUGUUGCAGAUUCAAGAGACGUUAUCAAGGCCCUGCAAGCUAUGAUCUGACAUGGGGAAAGGUCCACACAAACAAGAGAAGUGACAAUAUUUAGCCUAUGUUUGAAAAUAAGAUCUUUGCACAGAAGAUUUUCUUAGACAGUAAAAAAAAAAAAAAAAAAAAAAAAAAAAGGUGUGGGGAAACCCUAGUCACAAAAAUGGGUGCUGUGAUGUCAUUUCAUUCUUUGUUGGUCUGAUGGUCUGAACAAACAGUGGUGGUGAAUGAGAUACAGUGGAUGAGAAAAACAUCAUUCCUCUGGAAUCCAUUUUCCAAAACACAUUACCCCAUAUCUUGGAACCACUGAUGCUCACUGCCUGCAUUGACUCAAGAUUCUGAACAGGAAACAACUCUUAAAAACAAAUUCUACAUCAUCCUUAAGAAAAAAGAAAAGCGUUUCCUUGCUCAUCAGUCAUACCGCCAUAGCUCAACUCUUUAUUUUAGCCUGCAAUUAGAAAUUUGCAGGGUUCAGGCCAAAAGGGUUCCAGAAAGUGCAGAAAAGAAAGUGAAUGAACUGACAGAGGAAAGAAGAUGAUGUUUCUGGAGAAAAGAAGCUUUUGUAAUUAGCAGAGACUUCAGGUGGUUUUCUAAGACACUACGCCUCUUUUGCUGCCCUUGUAAUCUCCAGAAGGCAAUUAGAUGUUUCUGGCAUCCAUCUCCGGAGCUCAUUCUACAGACCGGCAAGCUGUUGUUGGCUCCAUUGCCUUCAGGAGACUUUGGCCUGGUACACUGUUUCUGUGCACAAGGUGGCCACGAUUCCUUGAACUCUGCUGAUUCCCAAGGGUUUGUGUUUGUCCUGACAGCUAAUAUUACCUCUAUGAAAAAGAAGGAAGACUUUUUGACCAUUUCAAAGCCUCUGCUGUAGCCAGGUGCUGCACUCUUCCAUUUACCAGGAAUUACUCUUGUCUAUCGGUGAAACAUUCAACAAAAGGAAUGAAAAAGAAACAACAUCCUGACUAGAAAAUCAUCAUCAUCAGAAACCACGUUACAAGAAGAGAACAACUUCUGCUUCUCUACAAGCCUGUUCUGCCUGCUGAGUGAGAAUCCUCCGGGAUUGUUGGUGGGACAUUUCCACUCAAGGAAACUCAGCAAUAUUUUUUUUUUAAAUCAAAAUUAUCUGAGGAAAUAUUUACAUGUACAUGGCUCACAAAGAGAAAUGGGAAGGGACACACCAUUCCCUGCAAUUUAAUCUGUACCAGUGCAGCUUUUGUCUGAAAAGGUUAUUUUAAUAUCAAAUAUGCUGAUAGGAGUUCUGAGAGCUGUAUCCUCAUGCAAAAAUUAGGAGUGAACAACUGAAUGCAACACACCUUAUAUUCUGCUUUCCAAAAAGAGCAUCAAUUAGUUACUGAAGUAAAUUUAAGGGAAGAAAUACAUACCCACAUACACAGUUACUGUAUACAAUACAGUCUUGUAACCAUUUGAAGGAUGGCACUGUAUAAUGGAGGUAAAUUCAUAAAUGGGAAUCAGUUGAUUUAAAGUGAUAACACAAAUACUGCUGCCAACACAUUCAGGCAGAUUAUAACUUAGAAGAUAUGUCAACACAAAAUCACACAGAACUUAAAACUAUUACUACUUAUUUGUGUUAUCUGUAUUGAGCCUUGCAACUACUUUCUUCAAGCCAGAUUUAGUAAGCAUUUAUCACUGUUUUAACCCCCUAGGAAUACACAUGCUCAUCCAUUUAUAUAGCAUUCCUAAACAGUGUACAAGCUCAAGCCUUAAAUUCAGCCUCAAAGUCACCAUUCAAAUUUGCAUCUGUAUUAUUAGGGUCACAGGUCUCUGGUUUGCAGAGUCCAGCCUAUCCUCUGGGUACGCAGAGACUGCAGUGAGUUGAGGUUCAGGUGGCAACUCCUUCUCUGCUGCAAAUUGCUGUUACAAUCAAUGCAACAAAACAUAUUAGGAUAUGUAGAACUUACCAAAAUAUUUCUAGAUUUUCUUCCAUGUCCCUCCAGCCACUGAGAUUUCUUUUUAUUGGCCCUUCUCACUUCUAGGGUAUUUCCAUACUAGGUUUUGAUACACUGCAAAGAGCAGACUGUGUUUUUCUGUACCAAUAAACUUCUGGAUCCAUAACAACCACGUUAGAUAUGUAAAAGAACAUUAAAAUGAGUAUUUUAUGAUGUUUUUUCCUCUGCUUUUCUCUGUCUGUUUAGCCACAUCUAUUCUAUAUCCUGAAUGUUCACAUCAUUAUUAUCUUUUCAGUAUCGAUACAUUCUUUUUGUCAGUGAUCUCCUGACUGUACUUUACCUGCUCUCCCACCUUCUGAAAUACUAACUCUGCCACAGCACUAAGCUACAGAGAUCUGGUAAGAAGGAAACGUAGGUUCCUGGAGUCCUAAAAUAAUCCAGUGAAGAAAAACAAAAAGGAUGGCAGAAGGCCAACAAAGACUAUGUAAUGUAACUCUAAGUGUCAGGGUUUUUUUAAGUAUGUGUGGCUGCUGUAUCUCAUACUUGGAGAAGUUGUCACAUGCUGUCAGCGCCGGCUGAUCUCCAGUUGGUGUUUCCAAGAGCAGCCCUUUCAAGUCAGUCCCAAUGAACUCAGAGACAGAGACAUUUUCUGUAGUGAAGCUGCACACUCCUUUGUCAUAUGUUCCUUUCUGGAGAGGUAAACCAAGUGAAAACUGGUAUCCUAUACUUAACACCUUCAGACACACUGAAUCCAAAAAGUCUGUUGAAGCACAAGUCACUGCCUAACAAUGAAGGUGCUCUGCUACUGCUGCCUGUAAGCUCAUUGAUAAACAAUUCUGAUCCUCUUCUAUGAUGAACUGUUAGUCAGAUCACUGAUAAUCAUUCCUGAGCUGCACUGAACCAUACGAGUAAUACCUCUGUCAGCAGAGCUACCCUCCAACAGAGAUUGGUGGCCAUUCUUGUUGCUGUGACAAUACACAUUACAGUUGUUUUUCACAACUUUCUCCUGCACGCCUUAGAUUUCAUAAACCAAAUGUCCAGUUUGGUGUUCCACUGGUGCAGCUCCAAGCUGUGACUCAUAAUGAGUGUAGAAGGGCACUGUUCUACAUGUACGCCUGUUUGUAGUCAGCAAACACAGGCAACAGGCUCUGUAGCCAGAUAUCCAGUUCUUUUAUCAAAUAAUUGGUUUAAUCUAAAUUUGUCAUCUUCAAAAACCUUAAUCUUUGUUAACCUAUUUCUUCAGUUUUUCAAACUCCUGAGAGCAUAUGGUACGGAUUCAUCCAAUCUCACUUUCCCUGUCAUUUAUGGUGAUCAGUAAAUAUUGGGCAGCAAUUAUUUUAUUGCAUUGUUUACCUCGCAGCACUAGUCUUUGCAGUAAAUAUAAAAUAAAAUUAUUUUGUAUCUUGAAGUUAAUUGUGUUGCAAUUUUCUAGCCCUCGGUGUCUGUGGAUGUUGAGGACAACUCUCUGAAGCACUUCACAGGAAUCCAAGAUGUAUUGCAAGUGUCUCACUGCAUCAAAAACUUCCUAUUUCCUUGCCACUGGGUCUGCAAAUGAUGUGAUGUUUGUAAUAACCAUUUCCUCACUUUUGCUCAUUUAGUGUGUAACAUUAGAAUAAAACUGGACCUCUGCCACUCUGUUAGACAUUUCAUUAAUAACUCUUUCUUGAAGUGGAGCUUCUCACAUAAAGGAGUCACUCUCAGACUGGACAAAAAUAGUUUGCAUCUUUGAAGGAGCAUUACAUUUCUACUUCCCUUUUUAACCCUACAUAAAAACUGAUCCAAUUUAGUCUGUAGUUUUUGAACCUUCUCCACUCAACCACUUGCCAGUUCACUUCUGGUUUCCUAGAGCAGUCACCUCUCCUAAAUUUUCUGUUUCUAGAUUCAGCAUGGCAGGAUCUGGUAAAGCUGAGGCAUAUUUUGGGCCUAUCAAUAAAUGUUUGUAUCAAAAGUUCUCUUGAUGCAUACAAGAGAACUGUAUAGCAAUUCUUCUUUGUACUGUUUUGCACCAGGAAGUGUCAGUCUGUUAUGAUCCUAGUAAGAAAGGCACUCAGACUCUCUAAAUGCUUAUUAUAGCUAACACUAUAAGGAAAGUAUAGAGUAGACAUUCCUACAACCCUUUAGAUGGUAGGAGCCUCAGAUGAUGCAGCACGAAACAGACUCUAGUCCAUCCAUGGUGACACAGGACAGAACCUAUCCAUAGGACAGAUUCCAACCUGUAGUCAUUUGAGCUAUUACAGGCUUUUCUUACAAGAAAACAUCCCUAUUCAUCAUUUUUACUGUCAAACAGAAACAAUGUUCUCAUGAGAACUUCUUGCAGCACUGUCAGAUAAAGGCAAGGCCAUGCAAGAGGAAUAAUCACCGGCACUGAAUGGGAGCUGCCUGCAGCUCCUCCUUGACAAGAAGCCACCUGAGCUUGCCCUGCAGCCACCAGAUUUGUGUAGCACAACACUGGCCUGAAGGCCAUGCUGUGUGUGCAGCACAGGACAGGUCUGUCAGGAAGACUGUGUUGUGGAUCAAUCAUGCCUUGAUGUACAAUGGCUUCCCUGUAGGGAUCACUGCAGCUACCUCUUGCCUUACCUUUCAUUUAGGAUUUCAAAAGGGCAAGUUCCUUCUCACAGUAAGCCAUAUAUAUGGUUGUAUGACUGUGCAUAAGAGACAAAAGGUACUCUGAACAUACACAGUUAAAAACAAUCUAAAAAGACUGUUAGGAUGAUGUUGGUUCCUUUUUCCCAUGUACUCAAAUGGAAAUAUUUGAAUUAUCCAUAUGUCCCAGUUUCUGCUGCUUGAUCACUAAAUUUCUUUCAGAAUUUUUGAAUUAAAAAAUGAAUUAUAAGUGAUUUAAUAUCCUGAACUUGUGCAAUAAUGGCUUGAAAAAAAAAAAUCAACUAUUUUAUUAAGUCUUUGGAAAUAACUAUUUCCAAAGACAGAAAGAACUUAACUUUCUUCUCCCUGCAUCAAAGACAGUAAUGUAAUGCAGGAUUUAACAAUUAGAUAAGUUUACAACCUCUAAUAUCACAUUUCACAAAAGUGUCACUCUUCAUAGACUCCAAAUUGAUUACAAUGCCUAGGCAAUUUGCUAGGAAACUAGAGAGGAUAUCUGCUGGUGGUGGUUGCAAGCACAAGCAAAGCCAGUCAUAUGGUCCUCACCCCAAACAUGAUGUUCUAAAGGCCAGCUGAAGGAUUUGUAUAACAUAUGGGCUAGAGUAAAUUGGUAGAGGUUGAGAUUAGUCAGAUAAAUAAGCAAAGAAAGCACAUAGCUGAGUCUGGUCUUACGGAGUUGAACAAGAAAAGAGAAACAUUUUAGAAACAAAUUAUGUUAUUUGAGCAAUGACACAACACACAUACACGGUGGGAAACA